rnacentral:rRNA from 1 species
GGGGAAUAUUGCACAAUGGAGGAAACUCUGAUGCAGCGAUGCCGCGUGAGGGAAGAAGGUUUUAGGAUUGUAAACCUCUGUCUUCAGGGACGAAAAAAGGACGGUACCUGAGGAGGAAGCUCCGGCUAACUACGUGCCAGCAGCCGCGGUAAUACGUAGGGAGCGAGCGUUGUCCGGAAUUACUGGGUGUAAAGGGAGCGUAGGCGGGAUCGCAAGUCAGAUGUGAAAACUAUGGGCUUAACCCAUAAACUGCAUUUGAAACUGUGGUUCUUGAGUGAAGUAGAGGCAGGCGGAAUUCCCCGUGUAGCGGUGAAAUGCGUAGAGAUGGGGAGGAACACCAGUGGCGAAGGCGGCCUGCUGGGCUUUAACUGACGCUGAGGCACGAAAGCGUGGGUAGCAAACAGGAUUAGAUACCCUGGUAGUCCACGCUGUAAACGAUGAUUACUAGGUGUGGGGGGUCUGACCCCUUCCGUGCCGGAGUUAACACAAUAAGUAAUCCACCUGGGGAGUACGGCCGCAAGGUUGAAACUCAAAGGAAUUGACGGGGGCCCGCACAAGCAGUGGAGUAUGUGGUUUAAUUCGAAGCAACGCGAAGAACCUUACCAGGUCUUGACAUCCAACUAACGAAGUAGAGAUACAUUAGGUGCCCUUCGGGGAAAGUUGAGACAGGUGGUGCAUGGUUGUCGUCAGCUCGUGUCGUGAGAUGUUGGGUUAAGUCCCGCAACGAGCGCAACCCUUGCUAUUAGUUGCUACGCAAGAGCACUCUAAUAGGACUGCCGUUGACAAAACGGAGGAAGGUGGGGACGACGUCAAAUCAUCAUGCCCCUUAUGACCUGGGCUACACACGUACUACAAUGGAUGUUAACAGAGGGAAGCAAGACAGCGAUGUGGGGCAAACCCCUAAAAACAUUCUCAGUUCAGAUUGCAGGCUGCAACCCGCCUGCAUGAAGAUGGAAUUGCUAGUAAUCGCGGAUCAGCAUGCCGCGGUGAAUACGUUCCCG